UCUAGUCGGUGGCAAACAAAACCUGUUUUUCUUUCAGGUAUAAAUGGAGGAAUUCCAGGUUCAACAGGUAUAAAUGGAGGAAUUCCAGGUUCAACAGAUACUAAAGGAGGAACUCCAGGGUCAACAGGUAGCUGGUCUUAUCAAUUUGGGGGAAAUCAGCCGGCGAAUGGACUUGGUAUAAAUGGAGGAAUUCCGGGUUCAACAGGUA